UCCCAUGUGGUCUAGUGUUAGGAUUCCUGGCUUUCACCCAGGCGCCCGGGUUCGAUUCCCGCAUGGGAA
rnacentral:tRNA from 1 species